rfam:Salmo salar isolate Sally breed double haploid chromosome ssa02, whole genome shotgun sequence.
CCUAAUUCCUCCUGUAAGUCUCUCUGGAUAAGAGUGUCUGCUAAAUGACAAAAA